CCUGUUCUCCAUUACUUGGCUC
rnacentral:miRNA from 10 species